AUGAACGCUAGCGGCAGGCUUAACACAUGCAAGUCGAGGGGCAGCAUGACACGGAGAUUCGUCGAAGUGUUGAUGGCGACCGGCGCAAGGGUGCGUAACGCGUGAGCAACUUGCCCGUUUCAGGGGGAUAACCGGUGGAAACGCCGACUAAUACCCCAUGGCAUCAUUGGGAGGCAUCUCCUUAUGAUUAAAGAAUUUCGGAAACGGAUAGGCUCGCGUGACAUUAGCUAGACGGCGGGGUAACGGCCCACCGUGGCGACGAUGUCUAGGGGUUCUGAGAGGAAGGUCCCCCACACUGGAACUGAGACACGGUCCAGACUCCUACGGGAGGCAGCAGUGAGGAAUAUUGGUCAAUGGUCUGACGACUGAACCAGCCGUGCCGCGUGAAGGUGACGGCCCUAUGGGUCUUAAACUUCUUUUGCAAGGGAGCAAUAAGCCUCACGUGUGGGGCGAUGAGAGUACCUUGCGAAUAAGCAUCGGCUAACUCCGUG
rnacentral:rRNA from 1 species